rnacentral:rRNA from 1 species
AACGAACGCUGGCGGCAUGCCUAACCAUUGAAAUCCGACGGAACCUUCCGGGCUUGUUGGGGACCGGUGCGUAACGCGGGGGGAAUUGCCCCUUGCUUUGGGAAUACCGGUAGAAAUGACUUGUUAUACCCGGUGAAAUCUUCGGGCCAAAAGAUUAAUCGGCAAGGGAUGAGCCCGCGUAGGAUUAGGUGGUUGGUGGGGUAAAGGCCUACCAAGCCGACGAUCCUUAGCUGGUCUGAGAGGAUGAUCAGCCACACUGGGACUGAGACACGGCCCAGACUCCUACGGGAGGCAGCAGUGGGGAAUAUUGGACAAUGGACGCAAGUCUGAUCCAGCAAUGCCGCGUGAGUGAUGAAGGCCUUAGGGUUGUAAAGCUCUUUUACCAGGGAUGAUAAUGACAGUACCUGGAGAAUAAGCUCCGGCUAACUCCGUG